GAUGAACGCUGGCGGCAGGCCUAACACAUGCAAGUCGAACGAAGUCUUCGGACUUAGUGGCGGACGGGUGAGUAACACGUGGGAACGUGCCUUUAGGUUCGGAAUAACUCAGGGAAACUUGAGCUAAUACCGGAUGAGCCCUUAGGGGGAAAGAUUUAUCGCCGAAAGAGCGGCCCGCGUUAGAUUAGCUAGUUGGUGAGGUAAAGGCUCACCAAGGCUACGAUCUAUAGCUGGUCUGAGAGGAUGGUCAGCCACACUGGGACUGAGACACGGCCCAGACUCCUACGGGAGGCAGCAGUGGGGAAUCUUGCGCAAUGGGCGAAAGCCUGACGCAGCCAUGCCGCGUGAAUGAUGAAGGUCUUAGGAUUGUAAAAUUCUUUUACCAGGGACGAUAAUGACGGUACCUGGAGAAAAAGCCCCGGCUAACUUCGUGCCAGCCGCCGCCGUAAUAC
rnacentral:rRNA from 1 species